UAGGGAAUCUUCCACAAUGGGGCGCAAGCCUGAUGGAGCAACGCCGCGUGUGUGAUGAAGGGUUUCGGCUCGUAAACACUGUUAUAAGAGAAGAACGACAUUGAGAGUAACUGUUCAGUGUGUGACGGUAUCUUAUCAGAAAGGAACGGCUAAAUACGUGCCAGCAGCCGCGGUAAUACGUAUGUUCCAAGCGUUAUCCGGAUUUAUUGGGCGUAAAGCGAGCGCAGACGGUUAUUUAAGUCUGAAGUGAAAGCCCUCAGCUCAACUGAGGAAGGGCUUUGGAAACUGGAUAACUUGAGUGCAGUAGAGGAAAGUGGAACUCCAUGUGUAGCGGUGAAAUGCGUAGAUAUAUGGAAGAACACCGGUGGCGAAAGCGGCUUUCUGGACUGUAACUGACGUUGAGGCUCGA
rnacentral:rRNA from 1 species